CACAACGCAGCCUGUUUCUUCCAAUUGAAUCAGCAGUGAAACAAACCAGCAGCCCGACAAACAAUGUAUAAACUCCACAGCAGAGAGGGAAGUGAAGAGAGAAGCUGAGAGAGACGUGAACACACCGGAAGCGACGAUGCUCCAUCCAGCAGCAGCUCCAUCACCGCAGGCUUCGAUGAAUCGUGCUUCAGGAGAACAUGGAGAACCGGCAGGGGACAAACACUGAGCAGAGCGUCUCGAGCGAGGCGCAUCGUGUCAGAGGUUGAUUGACGAGAAUGACGUCUGACGUGAGGACGAGGGGCCGACACCGUUUGACUGUGCAGCCAGAAUCUUCAAGUCACUGCGAGUCAGCACUUUCCACCAAAAACCUUUCAUUAAGAAUGCACGAACAGCGUCAGCUGUCGGCGGACAUCACACCAAAACCAGUCAGCGGCCUUCAGUCAGCGGGCGGCUGCGCGAAAGAUCAAGGAGGCCAAUUCACUGCCCGGCCGUCUUUGAACUGAAACACAGGGGCGACGAACAGGUUUCCACAGCACACAGUCACAGACAUUUUCUGUCAUAUCUAUACUACAGUGGUAGAUGGGCGUGCAUUGUGAUGAAGGGGAUAUGUAUACCUGGACGUGGCAAAAAGAACAAGCAAAUUAUUGUGCAAUUCCAUUCGGUAAAUAUUAGGAGUUGGUUUGUUGAGCUCAUCAGCUGGUACCACAGGGGGCAUUAUUGACGUAAUAAAAAGAAUAGCUACAUUUCUGUUUGUUGCAGUGACCUCAUUCUGUCAGAUCUGUUUGCGUCUGCCGCUACGUUUCGUUUUCUCUCAACGGACGUGUAAGUCACAUGAUUUCAUGCACGUCAGGAUUUUAGUGCGUUUCCACUGCACUUUGUCGUGUUUCGCAUUUUCUCCCCCCCAGUACAGAGUCUUUUCCACACCAAAAUAUUUGUUUGCAAUUGCGGCAUUUUCACUGCAAGUGCAGAUGGCACAUGGCUGCGAUGGGACCGCACCGUAGACUGGACACGAAGAUGGACGACAUGACAGCUCCCAAAAAAAGGGAAGCCAAAACAUCUUGAUUGCCCCCUGGUGGCUGGCGGCAGUAUAGGUCACAAACCCUGCAUCCUCCAUGUAAGAUGAUGGGAUAUGGACCAAAGUCACAAGUCUGAUGCACAUUAGAUAAAUGUUUCUGUCAUUUUUAGAUAGUUGUUAUCGUACUUAUGUAUGUUCAGGUGUUAAUUGUUCUGUUAAGUUUGUUUUUAAUUAGUUAUUUGAUGUGAUAAAAAUGGGGUGUAACGCCAUGAUUGACAGAUUGAAGAUUGAAGAUUCAAGAUGGUUUAUUUUGUCAUAUGCACAACAAUAACAGAAGCAGUCGUUUGCAAUGAAAUUCUUUUGUCUCAGGCUCCUUCAACAGCGCAAUAUAAAAGAAAAAAUAU